GACGAACGCUGGCGGCGUGCUUAACACAUGCAAGUCGAACGGAAAGGCCCCCCUGUGGGGUGCUCGACCGGCGAACAAGUGGGUAACAAGACAGUAAUCUACCCUCGUCUAUGGGAUAACAACUGCAAACUGCGGCUAAUAACAGCUAGUAGCUCCUCCUGCAUGGUGGGGGGGGGUGGGAUUCGGCGGUUGGGGAUGGACUCGCGGCUUAUCAGCUUGUUGGUGGGGUAGUGGCGUACCAAGGCUUUGACGGGUAGCCGGCCUGAGAGGGUGACCGGCCACAUUGGGACUGAGAUACGGCCCAGACUCCUACGGGAGGCAGCAGUGGGGAAUAUUGCACAAUGGGCGGAAGCCUGAUGCAGCAACGCCGCGUGCGGGAUGACGGCCUUCGGGUUGUAAACCGCUUUCGCCUGUGACGAAGCGUGAGUGACGGUAAUGGGUAAAGAAGCACCGGCUAACUACGUG
rnacentral:rRNA from 1 species